AACUUUCAACAACGGAUCUCUUGGCUCUCGCAUCGAUGAAGAACGCAGCGAAAUGCGAUAAGUAAUGUGAAUUGCAGAUUUCAGUGAAUCAUCGAAUCUUUGAACGCACCUUGCGCCCCUUGGUAUUCCGAGGGGCAUGCCUGUUUGAGUGUC
rnacentral:rRNA from 1 species